AACGAACGCUGGCGGCAGGCUGAACACAUGCAAGUCGAGCGCCCCGCAAGGGGAGCGGCAGACGGGUGAGUAACGCGUGGGAAUCUACCCAUCUCUACGGAAUAACGCAUGGAAACGUGUGCUAAUACCGUAUACGUCCUUCGGGAGAAAGAUUUAUCGGAGAUGGAUGAGCCCGCGUUGGAUUAGCUAGUUGGUGGGGUAAAGGCCUACCAAGGCGACGAUCCAUAGCUGGUCUGAGAGGAUGAUCAGCCACACUGGGACUGAGACACGGCCCAGACUCCUACGGGAGGCAGCAGUGGGGAAUAUUGGACAAUGGGCGCAAGCCUGAUACAGCCAUGCCGCGUGAGUGAUGAAGGCCCUAGGGUUGUAAAGCUCUUUCACCGGUGAAGAUAAUGACGGUAACCGGAGAAGAAGCCCCGGCUAACUUCGUGCCAGCCGCCGCCGUAAUAC
rnacentral:rRNA from 1 species